ensembl:lncRNA
CAUGGCUGAGGAGUAAAGGUUCUAUAGAGGGCUGAGGAGUAAAGGUUCUAUACAGGGCUGAGGAGUAGGUUCUAUACAGGGCUGAGGAGUAAAGGUUCUAUAGAGGGCUGGUUCUAUAGAGGGCUGAGGAGUAAAGGUUCUAUACAGGGCUGAGGAGGGCUGGUUCUAUACAGGGUUGAGGAGUAAAGGUUCUAUACAGGGCUGGUUCUAUAUAGGGCUGGGGAGGGAUGGUUCUAUACAGGGCUGGUUCCAUACAGGGCUGGGGAGGGAUGGUUCUAUACAGGGAUGGGGAGGGAUGGUUCUAUACAGGGCUGGUUCUAUACAAGGCUGGUUCUAUACAGGGCUGGGGAGGGAUGGUUCUAUACAGGGCUGGGGAGGGCUGGUUCUAUACAGGGCUGGUUCUAUACAGGGCUGGGGAGGGAUGGUUCUAUACAGGGCUGGUUCUAUACAGGGCUGGGGAGGGAUUGUUCUAUACAGGGCUAGGGAGGGAUUGUUCUAUACAGGGCUAGGGAGGGAUUGUUCCAUACAGGGCUGGGGAGGGAUUGUUCUAUACAGGGCUGGUUCUAUACAGGGUUGGGGAGGGAUGGUUCUAUACAGGGCUGGGCUGGUCCUAUACAGGACUGGUUCUAUAAAGGGCUGGUUCUAUACAGGGCUGGGGAGGGAUGGUUCUAUACAGGGCUGGUUCUAUACAGGGCUGGUUCUAUACAGGGCUGGGGAGGGCUGGUUCUAUACAGGGCUGGGGAGGGAUGGUUCUAUACAGGGCUGA